rnacentral:rRNA from 1 species
AUUGAACGCUGGCGGCAUGCCUUACACAUGCAAGUCGAACGGCAUCGCGGGAAAGCUUGCUUUCCUGGCGGCGAGUGGCGAACGGGUGAGUAACACAUCGGAACGUACCGGCUAGUGGGGGAUAACCCGUCGAAAGACGGGCUAAUACCGCAUACGCUCUUCGGAGGAAAGCAGGGGACCUUUGGGCCUUGCGCUAGCCGAGCGGCCGAUGUCCGAUUAGCUAGUUGGUGGGGUAAAGGCCUACCAAGGCGACGAUCGGUAGCGGGUCUGAGAGGACGAUCCGCCACACUGGGACUGAGACACGGCCCAGACUCCUACGGGAGGCAGCAGUGGGGAAUCUUGGACAAUGGGGGCAACCCUGAUCCGGCAAUGCCGCGUGGGUGAAGAAGGCCUUCGGGUUGUAAAGCCCUUUCGGCAGGGAAGAAAUCGGCGGGGCGAAUAACCCUGCUGGAUGACGGUACCUGCAGAAGAAGCACCGGCUAACUACGUG